rnacentral:rRNA from 1 species
GUGCCAGCAGCCGCGGUAAUACGUAGGUGGCAAGCGUUGUCCGGAUUUAUUGGGCGUAAAGCGAGCGCAGGCGGUUUUUUAAGUCUGAUGUGAAAGCCUUCGGCUCAACCGAAGAAGUGCAUCGGAAACUGGGAAACUUGAGUGCAGAAGAGGACAGUGGAACUCCAUGUGUAGCGGUGAAAUGCGUAGAUAUAUGGAAGAACACCAGUGGCGAAGGCGGCUGUCUGGUCUGUAACUGACGCUGAGGCUCGAAAGUAUGGGUAGCAAACAGGAUUAGAUACCCUGGUAGUCCAUACCGUAAACGAUGAAUGCUAAGUGUUGGAGGGUUUCCGCCCUUCAGUGCUGCAGCUAACGCAUUAAGCAUUCCGCCUGGGGAGUACGGCCGCAAGGCUGAAACUCAAAGGAAUUGACGGGGGCCCGCACAAGCGGUGGAGCAUGUGGUUUAAUUCGAAGCUACGCGAAGAACCUUACCAGGUCUUGACAUACUAUGCAGAUCUAAGAGAUUAGACGUUCCCUUCGGGGACAUGGAUACAGGUGGUGCAUGGUUGUCGUCAGCUCGUGUCGUGAGAUGUUGGGUUAAGUCCCGCAACGAGCGCAACCCUUAUUAUCAGUUGCCAGCAUUAAGUUGGGCACUCUGGUGAGACUGCCGGUGACAAACCGGAGGAAGGUGGGGAUGACGUCAAAUCAUCAUGCCCCUUAUGACCUGGGCUACACACGUGCUACAAUGGAUGGUACAACGAGUUGCGAACUCGCGAGAGUAAGCUAAUCUCUUAAAGCCAUUCUCAGUUCGGAUUGUAGGCUGCAACUCGCCUACAUGAAGUCGGAAUCGCUAGUAAUCGCGGAUCAGCAUGCCGCGGUGAAUACGUUCCCGGGCCUUGUACACACCGCCCGU